GGCCCUGAGGCCCAAUAGAUAAGUGGCCUGACUACGGAUCAGGAGAUUCUAGGUUAGAGUCCUGGCAAGGUCU
rfam:Nematostella vectensis strain CH2 x CH6 NEMVEscaffold_104_Cont12742, whole genome shotgun sequence.